rnacentral:rRNA from 1 species
ACUCCUACGGGAGGCAGCAGUGGGGAAUAUUGCACAAUGGGGGAAACCCCUGAUGCAGCCAUGCCGCGUGUGUGAAGAAGGCCUUCGGGUUGUAAAGCACUUUCAGUAGGGAGGAAGGUAGUGUAGUUAACACCUGCACUAUUUGACGUUACCUACAGAAGAAGCACCGGCUAACUCCGUGCCAGCAGCCGCGGUAAUACGGAGGGUGCGAGCGUUAAUCGGAAUUACUGGGCGUAAAGCGCAUGCAGGCGGCCUGUUAAGUCAGAUGUGAAAGCCCGGGGCUUAACCUCGGAAUUGCAUUUGAAACUGGCAGGCUAGAGUCUUGUAGAGGGGGGUAGAAUUUCAGGUGUAGCGGUGAAAUGCGUAGAGAUCUGAAGGAAUACCAGUGGCGAAGGCGGCCCCCUGGACAAAGACUG